GAUGAACGCUGGCGGCGUGCUUAAUACAUGCAAGUCGAGCGAACAGAUGAGGAGCUUGCUCCUCUGACGUUAGCGGCGGACGGGUGAGAAACACGUGGAUAACCUCCUUAUCAGACUGGGAACACCACGGAACACCGGCGCUAAUACCGGAUAAUAUACUGAACCGCAUGGUUCAAUAGUAAGUGACGGCUUUGCUGUCACUAAUAGAUGGAUCCGAGCCGGAUUAGCUAGUUGGUAAGGUCACGGGUUACCAAGGCAACGAUGCGUAGCCGACCUGAGAGGGUGAUCGGCCACACGGGAACUGAGACACGGUCCAGACUCCUACGGGAGGCAGCAGUAGGGAAUCGUCCGCAAGGGGGGAAAGCCUGACGGAGCAACGCCGAGUGAGUGAUGAAGGUGUUCGGAUCGGAAAACUCUGUUUUGAGGUAAAAACAAAUGUGUAAGUAACUAUGCAGUUCUUGACGGUACCUGAUCAGAAAGCCACGGCUAACUACGUG
rnacentral:rRNA from 1 species